rnacentral:tRNA from 1 species
GAUAAUGUAGCUUAAUUAAAGCAUUUCGCUGAAAAUGGAAGAGAUGGUAGUACCCGUUAUCA